CUGCCUAUUAGGAGCUCAGAUAUACAGAACAACCUGCCAGAUCCAGACUUCAGUGAAGCAUGGGCCCACUGACCAGUGGGGUCAGUGCAAUCUAUUUGAGUGGUACAAAUCCAAGCAGUGAUAUACUAAACGACGGCUCACACUGUAGAGUCCUUCCUCGUCUUGCAAGAGCUAGAGACUGAUGUUCUCAAAGAUCACUGGCAAACCUGCUCCCCUCGGUGGUUAGCAGGCUUCUUCACCUUCAUAAAGCCUGCAGGCAAGAGAUCAGACAGACUGUGAGCUCUUUCAAUUUGUUCUUGUCUAAGACCAUCUCUUCCUCAGUCUGGAUUUACAUGGCAAAUAGGAUUAUCAAAAAUGGACAUUUUAAAAAUCUAUUUCCAAUGGUCUGUGGAAAUAGGAGCAAAAAAAAAUUAUUUCGUUUUAAGCAGUAGUGGUGCAUUAGAUGGACAAACACAAGCCAAAAGCUCAUGCCAGCAGACUAAAUUAAUUCAGAUAGAGGAAAUCCAUUCUAACAAUACUGCAGAGAGAAGAAAGAAAACUAAUUAAACCUCUACUCCUGUACAAGCUUGCUAAAGCAUAUCUACCUAAACAAACUAAAAUGACUGAAUAGAUAGCAUAAUCCUUCAGAAUGUUAUAGGAUGAAAGGCAGCCAAUAACCUAUCUCAGUUGUCCAUUAGCUUGUAUGUAUGUAUGUAUCUGCAUGCAGUAUAUCUACAGUGUUGAUCUGAUUGAGUUAGGGGUCAUUCAAACAGUGUGGUUUUGUAGCUAGGCAAAAACUCAACUAUAAGAUGCAAUCACAUUAAAGGAUUUUGUAAUGGUAUUUUGCAUUUCUAUAGUACUUUCCAUCCAAGGAGUUCAAUGACCUUUACAAACAUUUCAUUAAAACAUUAAUUAACACUCUGAAGUAAAUUGAUCAAAGUUACUCUUCGGGUGGCCCACAUAACCAUAGUAUCA